rnacentral:rRNA from 1 species
UACGUAGGGUGCGAGCGUUGUCCGGAAUUAUUGGGCGUAAAGAGCUUGCAGGCGGUCUGUCGCGUCUGCUGUGAAAAUCCGGGGCUCAACCCCGGACUUGCAGUGGGUACGGGCAGACUAGAGUGUGGUAGGGGAGACUGGAAUUCCUGGUGUAGCGGUGAAAUGCGCAGAUAUCAGGAGGAACACCAAUAGCGAAGGCAGCUCGCUGGGACGGUAUUGACGCUGAGGCGCGAAAGCGUGGGGAGCAAACAGG